GAAUAUUGGACAAUGGGCGCAAGCCUGAUCCAGCCAUGCCGCGUGUGUGAAGAAGGCCUUCGGGUUGUAAAGCACUUUCAGCGAGGAGGAAGGGUGUUGUGUUAAUAGCACAGCAUUUUGACGUUACUCGCAGCAGAAGCACCGGCUAACUCCGUGCCAGCAGCCGCGGUAAUACGGAGGGUGCAAGCGUUAAUCGGAAUUACUGGGCGUAAAGCGUGCGCAGGCGGCUCCUCAAGUCAGAUGUGAAAUCCCCGGGCUUAACCUGGGAACUGCGUUUGAAACUAGGGAGCUUGAGUGUGGAAGAGGGGGGUGGAAUUCCAGGUGUAGCAGUGAAAUGCGUAGAGAUCUGGAGGAACACCGAUGGCGAAGGCAGCCCCCUGGGCUAACACUGACGCUCAUGCACGAAAGCGUGGGGAGCAAACAGG
rnacentral:rRNA from 1 species